ACACGUGGACAACCUAACCUAUGGAGGGGGAUAACCCCGGGAAACUGGGGAUAAUACCCCAUAGACUAUAAAUGCUGGAAUACUUUGUAGUUGAAAGGUCCGCCGCCAUAGGAUGGGUCUGCGGCCGAUUAGGUUGUUGUUGGGGUAACGGCCCAACAAGCCUGUAAUCGGUACGGGUUGUGGGAGCAAGAGCCCGGAGAUGGAUUCUGAGACACGAAUCCAGGCCCUACGGGGCGCAGCAGGCGCGAAAACUUUACAAUGCGGGAAACCGUGAUAAGGGAACUCCGAGUGCCCGUAAAAUCGGGCUGUCCAUCUGUGUAAAAAACAGGUGAAGAAAGGGCCGGGCAAGACCGGUGCCAGCCGCCGCGGUAAUACCGGCGGCUCGAGUGGUGGCCACUAUUACUGGGCUUAAAGCGUUCGUAGCUGGUCUGUUAAGUCUCUGGGGAAAUCUACUGGCUUAACCAAUAGGCGUCUCAGGGAUACUGGCAGACUAGGGACCGGGAGAGGUGAGAGGUACUCCAGGGGUAGGAGUGAAAUCCUGUAAUCCUUGGGGGACCACCUGUGGCGAAGGCGUCUCACCAGAACGGCUCCGACAGUGAGGG
rnacentral:rRNA from 1 species